rnacentral:rRNA from 1 species
CACGGGGUUGCGAGCGUUGUCCGGAAUUACUAGGCGUAAAGGGCAGGCAGGCGGAUCCAUAAGUUUAUCGUUUAAGGCGUCGGCUUAACCGGCGUAGGGCGGUAGAUACUGUGGAUCUGGAAUGCGGUUGGGGAAGACAGGAUUCCUGGUGUAGCGGUGGAAUGCGCAGAGAUCAGGAGGAAUACCGAAGGCGAAGGCAGUCUUCCAAGCCGUUAUUGACGCUCAACUGCGAAGGUGUGGGUAUCAAACAGGAUUAGAUACCCGCGUAGUCCCUGA